rnacentral:lncRNA from 1 species
UAAAAGACAUUUAUAACAUUUUGAUUACCUUUGACAAAAAAAAAACAUAUAGUUAACUAAUCUAAACUUAAAACAUCAACUUUAAACCCUAAAUCAUCAACUCUAAACCCUAAACCAUGAAACAUCAACUCUAAACCCUAAACCAUGAAACAUCAACUCUAAACCCUAAACCCUGAAACAUAAACUCUAAACCCUAAAUCCUAAAACAUCAACUCUAAACCCUAAACGAAAACCCUAAACCCUAAAUCUAAACUUAAAACAUCAACUUUAAACCUAAAUCAUCAACUCUAAACCCUAAACCCUGAAACAUCAACUCUAAACCCUAAACCUUCAAAUCAAAACCCUAAAAC